rnacentral:rRNA from 1 species
UAGCAUAUCAAUAAGCGGAGGAAAAGAAACCAACAGGGAUUGCCCUAGUAACGGCGAGUGAAGCGGCAACAGCUCAAAUUUGAAAUCUGGCUCUUUCAGAGUCCGAGUUGUAAUUUGCAGAGGGCGCUUUGGCGUUGGCAGCGGUCCAAGUUCUUUGGAACAGGACGUCACAGAGGGUGAGAAUCCCGUACGUGGUCGCUAGCCUUCGCCGUGUAAAGCCCCUUCGACGAGUCGAGUUGUUUGGGAAUGCAGCUCUAAAUGGGAGGUAAAUUUCUUCUAAAGCUAAAUACUGGCCAGAGACCGAUAGCGCACAAGUAGAGUGAUCGAAAGAUGAAAAGCACUUUGGAAAGAGAGUCAAAUAGCACGUGAAAUUGUUGAAAGGGAAGCGCUUGCAGCCAGACUUGCCUGUAGUUGCUUAUCUGGACUUUUGUCCAGUGCACUCUUCUGCGGGCAGGCCAGCAUCAGUUUGGGCGGUUGGAUAAAGGUCUCUGUCAUGUACCUCCUUUCGGGGAGGCCUUAUAGGGGAGACGACAUGCAACCAGCCUGGACUGAGGUCCGCGCAUCUGCUAGGAUGCUGGCGUAAUGGCUGUAAGCGGCCCGUCUUGAAACACGGACCAAGGAGUCUAACAUCUAUGCGAGUGUUUGGGUGUCAAGCCCAGACGCGUAAUGAAAGUGAACGGAGGUGGGAACCUUUUAGGUGCACCAUCGACCGAUCCUGAUGUCUUCGGAAGGAUUUGAGUAAGAGCAUAGCUGUUGGGACCCGAAAGAUGGUGAACUAUGCUUGAAUAGGGUGAAGCCAGAGGAAACUCUGGUGGAGGCUCGCAGCGGUUCUGACGUGCAAAUCGAUCGUCAAAUUUGGGCAUAGGGGCGAAAGACUAAUC